rnacentral:lncRNA from 1 species
AUGAUUUGUGAAGAGAUCUUGAUGCGUGAAAUGCAACAUUAACGAUCGAUAGUUCACGUCGAUGAAAAUAAACGACAUCUUCAUGAGAUUAUUUUCUUGCUUAAGUUGUAUUUCGACAAUUUAAGAUCUAUUAUUAUCAUAUAUGAUAUCCUUUCAAUUAUUGUUAAAGGUUAAUCAUGCUAAACAUGAGUUGCAUAAUGUAUUUAUCAGGCAACUUUAC